rnacentral:rRNA from 1 species
UGCGUAGGUGGCGCUGUAAGUCAGGUGUGAAAUUUCGGAGCUUAACUCCGAAACUGCAUUUGAUACUGCGGUGCUUGAGGACUGGAGAGGAGACUGGAAUUCACGGUGUAGCAGUGAAAUGCGUAGAGAUCGUGAGGAAGACCAGUGGCGAAGGCGGGUCUCUGGACAGUUCCUGACACUGAGGCACGAAGGCCAGGGGAGCAAACG